rnacentral:rRNA from 1 species
AGGACGAACGCUGGCGGCGUGCUUAACACAUGCAAGUCGAGCGGAAAGGCCCUUCGGGGUACUCGAGCGGCGAACGGGUGAGUAACACGUGAGUAAUCUGCCCCUAGCUCUGGGAUAGCUCCGGGAAACCGGGAUUAAUACCAGAUACGACCACUUUAGACAUCUGCUGUGGUGGAAAGAAUUUCGGCUAGGGAUGAGCUCGCGGCCUAUCAGCUUGUUGGUGAGGUAACGGCUCACCAAGGCGACGACGGGUAGCCGGCCUGAGAGGGCGACCGGCCACACUGGGACUGAGACACGGCCCAGACUCCUACGGGAGGCAGCAGUGGGGAAUAUUGCGCAAUGGGCGAAAGCCUGACGCAGCGACGCCGCGUGGGGGAUGAAGGCCUUCGGGUUGUAACCCCUUUCAGCAGGGACGAAGCGAAAGUGACGGUACCUGCAGAAGAAGCGCCGGCUAACUACGUGCCAGCAGCCGC